GUUUUGAAGGUGCAAUGGUCAAUGGCACUUGCUUCCUGUUCUGAAACCUGAGAGGAAGGAGCUGCUUUUCACUGCUGAGCCUGUCUAACCAAGCCUGUUGAAACAGCAUUGUUCCCUGAAUGGAAGAUGAAUUGCUGUGGGGAGACUGGAGGCAGACAAACUCAGUGGCAAGCUACUGCAAUGGUCCAGGCAUGAGGUGAUAGGAGCCUGCACAAUGGUGGUGGCAGUGUCAAAGGAGAGAAGAGGACAUAAUCAAGAGAUUCACAAAGGAUGAAUAUCUAAGACCCAUAGACUCAGACUCAUAGAAUCUUGGAGACAGAAGACACUUCAGAAAUAUACAUCCAAUUCCUUCAUUUGACAAAUGACAACAUUGAGUCCUGGAAAUGUGAAGUGAUUUGACAGCUACACAGAAAAUUAGGUAUAGUCCUCAGUUAAUUAUUCUUAGUGUUAUGCCCAGAUCCUUCAUUUAUUCCUAGUUCCUUUAUGAUUGGCAAAUGUAGAGUCAAUUGGGGUGUUUGUGAAAGUUAAUUAAGUCAAGUCCUAAAAUCCACCUUGCAGUUCAUAGAAUAAAUGCACUAAAGGAGAA